rnacentral:rRNA from 1 species
ACGGAGGGGGCUAGCGUUGUUCGGAAUUACUGGGCGUAAAGCGCACGUAGGCGGACUGAAAAGUUGGAGGUGAAAUCCCAGGGCUCAACCUUGGAACUGCCUUCAAAACUAUCAGUCUGGAGUUCGAGAGAGGUGAGUGGAAUUCCGAGUGUAGAGGUGGAAUGCGUAGAUAUUCGGAGGAACACCAGUGGCGAAGGCGGCUCACUGGCUCGAUACUGACGCUGAGCUGCGAAAGCGUGGGGAGCAAACAG